GAGGGAAUAGCUCAAGUGGUAGAGCACAUGCUUAGCAUGCAUGAGGUCCUGGGUUCAAUCCCCAGUACCUCCU
rnacentral:tRNA from 1 species